AUGAAACAGGUUAUGUCAUGUCUAGAAAAUAUGCAGCAGUGGCACCAUCUACUUUGAAACUCAACUUGAAAUCCACUCACUUGUCCAUAAAAGAAGUAAGUCCGACUAUUUUGUAAAUUGUAUUGUUUUAUUGUAAUUUUUAUUGAAUUUUGAAACCAAAUCAUGUAAAUUUUUAACAAAAAAACGUGUUAUUGAAAAAAAAAAAGAGAAGUUGGGCUUAUUUUCCUGUCAGAUUUUCCGCUAGAUGGCGAUGUCAGUGACAGUACUUUUCAAAUCAAUGGGCAAAAUUGAGUUAGUCAUACAGUUCGUCUGCUUCGGAAAUAGUUAACUCGCUUCAGGAGUGAGGUUGAUGUAAGCACGAAUGGGUGCUGUGCUGCUUAUGAUCUUCUGAUUCAUAAUUCUAAAGGACUUGCUUUUAUUUUCUAAUUUUUAACAAUGUUGGUAGUGAAACAAAACUUUGUGCUUUUAAGAGAAUCCAAGAUCCCUUCCCCAAAUGGAAAGAGACUUUGCUGUACACAAACAUGUCUACUAAACACAUUGUGUUCUCGUGUGAUUGAUUAAAGUUUAUUUUUAAAUCUUACUACACAUUUCCCAGAUGUAGAUUGAUAAUUAUAGAGAAUUGAAAGAGAUUGCACUCAUAGAAUUUUUCAAACUUUUUCCUUGCAAAAAUUCUUCAUUAGGCUUUUGUAGUUGUAUCAUAGUUGUCUAACUUAUGCAACCAAUUGAGGCACUGCCAAGGUUGACUGCACGUAGUUGUAUUUGUAGUCUAUGAAAAGAAAAUGAAUACAAGCAUUAUUAAACAACAAA